rnacentral:rRNA from 1 species
UACGUAGGGGCUAGCGUUAUCCGGAAUUACUGGGCGUAAAGGGUGCGUAGGUGGUUUCUUAAGUCAGAGGUGAAAGGCUACGGCUCAACCGUAGUAAGCCUUUGAAACUGGGAAACUUGAGUGCAGGAGAGGAGAGUGGAAUUCCUAGUGUAGCGGUGAAAUGCGUAGAUAUUAGGAGGAACACCAGUUGCGAAGGUGGCUCUCUGGACUGUAACUGACACUGAGGCACGAAAGCGUGGGGAGCAAACAGGAUUAGAUACCCCGGUAGUCCCUGAGCGGGCU